AACGAACGCUGGCGGCAUGCCUAACACAUGCAAGUCGAACGAGACCUUCGGGUCUAGUCGCGCACGGGUUCGUAAGGCGUGGGAACCUGCCCUUAGGUUCGGAAUAACUCCCCGAAUGGGGUGCUAAUACCGGAUAAUGUCUUCGGACCAAUGAUUUAUCGCCUUUGGAUGGUCCCUCGUUAGAUUCGCUAGUUGGUAGGGUAAUAGCCUACCAAGGCGACGAUCCAUAGCUGGUCUGUGAGGAUGAUCAACCACACUGGGACGGAGACACGGCCCAGAAUCCUGCGGGAUGGAGGAGGGGGGAAUAUUGGAACACGGGGUAAAGGCUGAUCCAGCCAUGCCGUGGGAGUGAUGAAGGCAGUAAGGAUCGAAAGCGUUUUUAACCGGGAUGAUAAUGACAGUACCGAGAGAAUAAGCUCCGGCUAACUCCGUG
rnacentral:rRNA from 1 species